rnacentral:rRNA from 1 species
CCUACGGGAGGCUGCAGUGGGGAAUUUUGCGCAAUGCUCGUAAGAGUGACGCAGCGACGCCGCGUGAAUGACGAAGGCCUUCGGGUCGUAAAGUUCUUUCGACCGGGAAGCAAAUGCCUAUAAGUAACUGUGUCUGUAUUGACGUUACCUGUAUAAGCAGCCCCGGCUAACUCCGGUCCAGCAGCCGCUGUAAUACGGUGGGGUCGCGCGUGGGUCUGAUGGGUUGGGCGUAAAGGGCACGUAGGCUGUGUUGUAAGUCAUUAGUCAAAGCCUAGCGCUCAACUGUAGUACGGAUAGUGAUACUAUAAGACUAGAGUAUGAGAGAGGAAGGCAGAAUGCCUGGUGUAGCGGUGAAAUGCAUAGAGAUCA